UACGGAGGAUCCUAGCGUUAUCCGGAUUUACUGGGUUUAAAGGGUGCGUAGGCGGGCCCCUCAGUCAGCGGUGAAAGUCUGCGGCUCAACCGUAGGAUUGCCGUUGAUACUGGGGGUCUUGAAUUCGGUCAAGGUGGGCGGAAUGCGUGGUGUAGCGGUGAAAUGCUUAGAUAUCACGCAGAACGCCGAUAGCGAAGGCAGCUCACCGGGCCGACAUUGACGCUGAGGCACGAAAGCGUGGGGAUCAAACAGGAUUAGAUACCCUGGUAGUCCACGCCGUAAACGAUGAUGGCUGGAUGUUGGCGAUACACCGUCAGCGUCUGAGGGAAACCAUUAAGCCAUCCACCUGGGGAGUACGGCCGCAAGGCUGAA
rnacentral:rRNA from 1 species